CUUGAUGUGCUCGUUGUUAAAAUUAAUUAAAAAGUGUUAAAUACGCGUAAAUUUAUUGUAAAAUUAAUAAAUAAAUACAUUUUAACAUUUUCUUAAUAAGUUUUUAACAUUUUCUUAUGAAUUUAUCAGAGUUUAUUAAGUGAAAAGUGUUUUGCAAAUUUUUCUUUGGCAAACUGUUGCUCUUGUUGUUGUCGUCAAUGAACGCCAUUAUAUGCAGCUAAGCCGGUGCUGUUGUUGUAAUGACAUUUUCUAUUUGUUUUUUUUGUAGUUAAAUUCGUUAUAACGGUAUUCUUUAGUGACGAAAUGUGUGUGAUAAGAAAGUGGUGAAGAACAAGUAGGAAUUUUAAAGAAUUGCAAAUAAACUUUAGUUUUGUAUCGAUAAAAAAGCUUUUUUUAUAAAGCUGUUUUUUGUGGAAGGUGGUUUAUAGGUAAAAGCUGUUUUUUUUAAAUGUUAAAUGUUAUGAAUGCAGUGAUAAGAGUCGCUAAGGAAUUGGAUCACCUUAAAUAAUUUGACUCAAACUGUAAAUAUAAAAAAAAAUUUCAUCUCAG